AACCUCUCAGGGUUGCACCCGGUGAGUUCCCAGUACUCUACCAGUCUCAACCAUGGGAGGGAGAGUCAAGCAGAGGCCUAUCCAUUACAAUCCUAGCUUUGGCAGUGGCUAACGAGUGGAAGACAAUCUGCUACAGGU